CUGUAAAACCUGACUUUUCGGAAAGGUUGUAUUUAUUAGAUAUCAAACCAAUAAUCUUUCGGGAUUAUUGUGAUGAUUCAUAAUAACUGAUCGGAUCAAGGUGUACCUUGAUAGAUCAUUCAAGUUUCUGCCCUAUCAGCUUUCGAUGGUAGUGUAUUGGACUACCAUGGCAGUCACGGGUAACGGAGAAUUAGGUUCGAUUCCGGAGAGGGAGCCUGAGAAACGGCUACCACAUCUACGGAAGGCAGCAGGCGCGUAAAAUUACCCAAUCCUGAUUCAGGGAGGUAGUGACAAGAAAAUAACAACUCGGGGCCUCACGGCUUACGAGAUUGCAAUGAGAACAAUUUAAAUCUCUUAGCGAGGAACAAUUGGAGGGCAAGUCUGGUGCCAGCAGCCGCGGUAAUUCCAGCUCCAAUAGCGUAUAUUAAAGUUGUUGCAGUUAAAAAGCUCGUAGUUGAAUUUCUGUAUUAUGGAUGUAGCGGUUUCCGUUACAUUUGUAGUCAUCCACAUGAGAACCUUUCUCGGU
rnacentral:rRNA from 1 species